rnacentral:sRNA from 1 species
AUAGCUAUAUUAUCCCUGACAUGGAAACAACCCAUUAAUUCAAGAGUAAAUUAUACAUUUUGACUUUUAAAUGGCUGCUUCAACUGCAAGAACUAUAGCAGACUCAGAUGAAGAAAGCCGCUCUAUAGCCAUGACUGUAUUACCAAUUCAGUUCGCCUUCUAAAUGCACCUAUUUCCGAAUUUUAGCUGGUGGCUUAUGAGGACCAAUUCUACUGAGAUGCUAAAUGAGAAAUCGGUUUGUAGGGUUCGGUUGUUCAAUAUAAUGCUGGGGACAAUCGUUGGACUUCUCAUUAGUGAGUACAGCCAACUAAAAUGAAAGGGUUUUAAAGAAUUCAAAGAAUAAACGCCACACAAAUUGCAUUCGACAAGUACUACCUUUCAGAGAGUACAAUAACUUAUCAAGGCUGUGCAAAGUAGAGAGAAAAAAAUACUGAUCAAGGUUCAGUAGCGUUCGUGGCGAAGGCUCUUCCAGGGUUACCAAAACUGUUUUAAUUAAAAAUGUCUUAAAAAUCGCCUAAAUUAUUA